UUCUUUGCCCAAAAACAUCCCAGCUACUUGACAUUCCAGACUCAUUGCACCUCGGCAGUCUCGCCUGUCGCUAGCACAGGCAGCCAGCGAGCAGACGCGCAUCCUGUGGGGAAAACUCGCCGCACUUACGUAAAGUGAUGAAGUGAAGGAGACUCUGACAUUUGCCGAGUAGAAGGAGCUGUCGGUCCUCUGAAAAUGACUUGUAUCCUAAACAUUGAGGAAUAUUAAACUGACCUCUGUCAAUGUGUGAAGUGGAAGAUUUCAAAAGAUGGUUGUGUUUCGAGAAGUCUGCAAUUAUCCCGUUGCGUUCAUGAUUUCAAAUCUGUACAUUUUAGCAUGCAGUGAGAGUUUGCCAGGGAUUCAUCUGGGACUGCACAAGCCAACGUGUCUGAUAGCAACAAAAUUGGCACAGAGGUGGGAAAAGGCGAGUCCAAAGCUGACAAGUUGCCAGAGGCUUUCGCUUACGCUUACACUUGCCGUCACAGGAACGACGUCUCUCUCUUUCUGCCCUGCAAGACUUUGAAGGUGGAGAACGAUGUCAUGGCAUAACCCGCAGGCAGCAUCCUUGUGAAAACAAACACUUUAUCCAGCUAGCGCAAGCUUACAAAUAUUUAAUAAAGACAAGGACAUUUGCCCAUCCAUCCAUCUUCUCCACCGCUUAUCCUCAUUAAGGUCAUGAGUGAGCUGCAAACUAUCCUGAGUGACUUUGAGGGGACACUCGCCAUUCGUUGAUGGUCAGUCACACAGCUUACUUACAAAUAAGUAAAUUCUUCAUUAAAAUAAUAACAAUAAAUUAGCUAGCA